rnacentral:lncRNA from 1 species
AUCUAUACAUUAAAAUUGUAUUUAACCAAUAUGGAUGCUUUUUACGUGACAAGCAGGCAGUUCAGAGACCACAAUGAGCUGAUUUCAAAACAUCUUCAAUAAUAUAUGAUCUUACCGAGCAAAUAAACUCAACCAAUAAAGGUAUCCUAUAAAUAUUCAAUAAUUUUCUCUAAAGAAAAAGAAAAUAAUUUGAGCAGUGUGUGCAUACAAUAAUAGACAAAGGCCUCCCAUGAACUAGAACUGGCGUUUUUUUUUAUUUCAUUGUUAUUGUCCUGGCAUCCAAUAGGUAUUUUCUUUUCAGAGCAAUGUUUUCACCUUGAAAAAUUCCAACUCUGUAAAUAAAAUCCACUUCAACCCCAAACCCACUCUUGCAAAACAGGCCAGAAAUCUAAGCACGAAUACAAUAGGAGAUAAAUGACACUUUCCUCCUUCUUCCAUUGUAUUCAAAACAGUCUUCGGACUCCAGCCCCUUCUGAGCUGUGUGGCCCUGGGUGGGUGACUUCGCUUUCCUGAGCUAGGGUGUCUGCUUUUGUGGCUUGGCCAUCAGGAGACUAUGAAACGCGAAACUUGAAACUCGUCAGUCAGGGUUUGGGAGGAUUAAAGGAGAUGCUGCCUGAGCUCAGGGCGUGGCCUAAGACACUCAACAACUCAACACCCAGAGUCGUUAUUACUAUUGCUAUUGUUUUUAUUGAAAAGAUCAGGAAGAGUUUGUAAUAAACACAUAUAUUCAGCACAUUUUUGGAAGUUCCCACUGUGGCACAGUGGGUUAAGAAUCCCCUGCAGGAGUUCCCAUCUCACCGAUUCGAAACAGCCGGCACCCGAUGUAACAGACUGCUUUGAUGCUGUGCAAAUGCCUGCCUCCCUAGACUUGAAGAACAAACACUGAAGGGAGAAUGUUCCACAGCUAUUGGGCAAGCUAUCAAUGGACAUGUGCUUUUAUCCAUGGAUCACUGAAGCAAAAGAAUUCAGUGGAUAAAGAACACACACACACACACACACACACACACACACACACACACACACACACACACACACUGGAGUAUUACUCAGCCGUAAGAAAGAAUGAAAUAAUACCGUUUGCAGCAACAUGGCUGGACCUAGAGAUCCUUAUAUUGAGAGAAUGAAGUCAGAAAAGAGAAUGACAAAUACAUCACUUAUAUGUGGAACUUAAUUUUUAAAAUGAGACAAAUGAAUUUAUUUAUGAAAGAGUUCAUUUGACAUAGUAUCAGAAUAAAAUCUUUUAAACAAUAAACAAUUAUUAUUUCAAAGCUCAAUGCAACGAUCCCAGAGUCCCCACUCCAGCUAAGAUUCUGUGAGUUUCAACAGUUCAACUCACUCUUUUAAGCUCCCGGAUAAUUAAGGAGCUCAUUCACCCUGGCAGUGCCCAUAGUGUGAUAUUUGGGGAAGUAGGCCAACUGGAAAAGCAAGGGUUAGUCAGCAUGCAGGGCCCUGCCCAGCCACCACCCCAUCCCAGCCCUCGUUCUGAAGUCUGCCUCGCAUUGGCAACAGGCCCUCCCGAGACAGCUUCCCAUCUAAGCAUUAGCACGGCUAUCUACCCAGCUUGCGUCCUGUUGGUUAAAGCAGGUACAUCACUGAGUGUGGGCGAAGGGAUGCAGGGAUGCCAGGUACCCAGGUCUCCAGGGUAACCAUGCACCACAGACUGUCAGAGGCAUUCAUGCGGAUGGAGGCAGGGUGUUGAGAUCUCAAAGAUGAGUGUAAGUUACAGGACCAAGGGUUUGGGAGAACAGCAUCCACAGAGAGCGAGAGAGAGGCAGAGAAGCCUCCCGCAGCAGGACGAAAGAGAGGGUAAACCGAGGCCAAGGAGGGACAUCCGAGACAGAUUAAAGAGUUGGGAUUUAUCUGAAUCAUAAUGGGAGGCUAGUCAUGAGCUUUUAGCAGGAGGUGUCCACAGCCCAAUCAGAGUUUUUAGAAGAUGCCUCUGAUGCAGGGGGUGGGGAGUGGCCAGGUGGAAGGCUGCCGCAGGAGUCCAGCACCACGCGAUGGCCACUCCUGCCAGGUGUGGGUGUCAGAGGAGAGAGGAAGGAGUGAACGGAUUCGGGGGCCUUUCUGGAAGUUGUCUUGACAGGACUCAUGAUGGAUUGGACAUGAGGAAUGUGCAGGAAAGAGACACCAAGAAAGCCUCCAAGUUUGCUCGCCGGAGCUCCAAGCAGGCGGGAUGGGGGAGAAGAGGCAGGAAAGAGAACCAGGAGUUCAAGUGGGGGCAUGUUUUUAUCUGUCAUGCGCAUGGAGACGUCCAAAUAAGUGUCCGGGAGGCAGCCGGCUGGAAGAGGCUGGCGCUCAGAAGCGGCUGGACUUGGGUGACCUUGCCUGCACGUGUCCCUCCAGAACCCCGCACCCCUCCCCCACACGCUCCACGCGUGUCCCCACUGAUGGGCUUGCGGUUCCCAACAGUCCAGAUGCCUGCGCAUCCGGAUCUCUGCCGUGAUUCUCUCCCCCUGCCUCCCGACCAGCCUCCAGCCAAUCACCUGGCUGCAUCCUUCAGGCUGGGAGGUUUGACCCUAUCCCUCCUCCUCCCCAAAUCAGGCUGGAUACUGCCGUCCUGGUUUCCCACAGCACCUCCCCACGACCCUGGCCACACUGCCUUCCAGUUGCACCUUCACCUCCUCUGGGGGAUGUGAACUCCUCGAGGCAGGAAAUGUGUCUUGUUUAGGCUCUGUUCCUAGCAGCAGUAGGCACGCAGUAAAUAUUUACUGCAUGAAGGAACGCCUCCCUGGCCCCCAGCCUCUUCUUGCUGCAGUUCAUCUGCAAUAUCGUGUCCCAAACAGAUGUCUGUGCACGCCCCUCCCCGCAGACGACGCCGCUUCUCAAGUUCCGGAGCCUUUCCGUGGUCCA